GAUGAACGCUGGCGGCGUGCCUAAUACAUGCAAGUCGAGCGAACGGACGAGAAGCUUGCUUCUCUGAUGUUAGCGGCGGACGGGUGGGUAACACGUGGAUAACCUACCUAUAAGACUGGGAUAACUUCGGGAAACCGGAGCUAAUACCGGAUGAUAUUUUGAACCGCAUGGUUCAAAAGUGAAAGGCGGUCUUGCUGUCACUUAUAGAUGGAUCCGCGCUGCAUUAGCUAGUUGGUAAGGUAACGGCUUACCAAGGCAACGAUGCAUAGCCGACCUGAGAGGGUGAUCGGCCACACUGGAACUGAGACACGGUCCAGACUCCUACGGGAGGCAGCAGUAGGGAAUCUUCCGCAAUGGGCGAAAGCCUGACGGAGCAACGCCGCGUGAGUGAUGAAGGUCUUCGGAUCGUAAAACUCUGUUAUUAGGGAAGAACAUAUGUGUAAGUAACUGUGCACAUCUUGACGGUACCUAAUCAGAAAGCCACGGCUAACUACGUG
rnacentral:rRNA from 1 species